rnacentral:rRNA from 1 species
AUUGAACGCUGGCGGCAGGCCUAACACAUGCAAGUCGAACGGUAACAGGAAGCAGCUUGCUGCUUUGCUGACGAGUGGCGGACGGGUGAGUAAUGUCUGGGAAACUGCCCGAUGGAGGGGGAUAACUACUGGAAACGGUAGCUAAUACCGCAUAACGUCGCAAGACCAAAGAGGGGAACCUUCGGGCCUCUUGCCAUCGGCUGUGCCCAGAUGGGAUUAGCUUGUUGGUGAGGUAACGGCUCACCAAGGCGACGAUCCCUGGCUGGGCUGAGAGGAUGACCAGCCACACUGGAACUGAGACACGGUCCAGACUCCUACGGGAGGCAGCAGUGGGGAAUAUUGCACAAUGGGCGCAAGCCUGAUGCAGCCAUGCCGCGUGUAUGAAGAAGGCCUUCGGGUUGUAAAGUACUUUCAGCGGGGAGGAAGGUGUUGUGGUUAAUAACCGCAGCAAUUGACGUUACCCGCAGAAGAAGCACCGGCUAACUCCGUGCCAGCCGCCGCCGUAAAAC